GUCUUUUGUUUCCCAAAGAGGGAAGCUGCCCGUGAGGUUGAUGUUUCAACAACACCGUCCCCCAACAAUCAGACACAAACUGAAGCUGUGGAUGGUGCAAGUGAAGAUGUGGAAUCAGGCACUCCAGCACCUAAUCCCCACAACCAGACCACUACUGCACAGCCUGAUGUUACCGAUGGACCAAGUGAAGAUGAUGUGGUAACUGCAACUCCAAAUCCCCAAAACCAGACAACACCUGUUGCCCAAACUGAAAAUGCUG